UACGGGGGGAGCAAGCGUUGUUCGGAUUUACUGGGCGUGAAGGGCGCGUAGGCGGUCGUGACAAGUCACUUGUGAAAUCUCCGGGCUUAACUCGGAACGGUCAAGUGAUACUGUCGGACUAGAGUACAGAAGGGGCAACUGGAAUUCUCGGUGUAGCGGUGAAAUGCGUAGAUAUCUGGAGGAACACCGGUGGCGAAGGCGGCAUCCUGGACCGGCAUUGACGCUGAGGAGCGAAAGCCAGGGGAGCAAACGAG
rnacentral:rRNA from 1 species